UUAGUCACACUACAGCUGUGCCCAUACACAGGCAAAAAUACACUACGCCAGUACGUCAGUUCGUGCCUUCACAGACAUAUAUUCUGCUACACUGAUUCUGUCAGCAAUGAAUUCCUUGUUGCAAAAGAGGUGACUGCCGGAGAAUCCGAACAUCAAAUGAACUAUGGAACACAAAAUCUCUUACAUACUGAGUUGAUACGUCCAGUACAGAAGCCUAGCAGCUCCCUCCAGGAUUGCAAAUGUUGAGCACUGAAGGCAGAAGAGGAUUUAUGUACCAUUUUUCUAGGAUGUUGUGAGAAUUUGGCUUGUGAUUCUCGAACUACAGUAAGUCCUCGUGUAAUGCGGUGGAUACGGUCUUCUAAGCAGUUAGGUUAUGUGAAACGACGUUAAGCGGAUCCAUUUUUACUGUAAGAAAGAGAAAUUUUGCGAGCCUUGAUGUCUCACAACUCAGUGGGUCUUCAGGACCUGUUAUAGGGACUGUUUUUACUACAAGAAAUCUAACAAUUAAAUGAGUUACGUUCCUCGCCCUUUCUUCGCCCCAUAACAUGUGUUACAAUAGGCCUAUAGACAAUAUGAAGGCUUUU